UACGGAGGAUGCGAGCGUUAUCCGGAUUUAUUGGGUUUAAAGGGUGCGUAGGCGGGCUUUUAAGUCAGCGGUAAAAAUUCGGGACUCAACCCCGUCCGGCCGUUGAAACUGGGGGCCUUGAGUGGGCGAGAAGAAGGCGGAAUGCGUGGUGUAGCGGUGAAAUGCAUAGAUAUCACGCAGAACCCCGAUUGCGAAGGCAGCCUUCCGGCGCCCUACUGACGCUGAGGCACGAAAGUGCGGGGAUCGAACAGG
rnacentral:rRNA from 1 species